ACUUUCGCCUUUAUAAUAUUAGCACAAAUUAAGCUCUUGGUUCCGUGUAUAUCAUGGAUUUCCGCAA